AACCUAUGAUGAAGAGAUUCUGCCAAAUGAUUUCUGUGAUUAUACCAUACCGUUCCAUUUAUAUCUGAGGUU
ensembl:snoRNA